AUUGAACGCUGGCGGCAUGCUUUACACAUGCAAGUCGAACGGCAGCGCGGGCUUCGGCCUGGCGGCGAGUGGCGAACGGGUGAGUAAUGCAUUGGAACGUGCCCAGUAGUGGGGGAUAGCCCGGCGAAAGCCGGAUUAAUACCGCAUACGACCUGAGGGUGAAAGCGGGGGACCGAAAGGCCUCGCGCUAUUGGAGCGGCCGAUGUCGGUUUAGCUAGUUGGUGGGGUAAAGGCUUACCAAGGCGACGAUCCGUAGCUGGUCUGAGAGGACGACCAGCCACACUGGGACUGAGACACGGCCCAGACUCCUACGGGAGGCAGCAGUGGGGAAUUUUGGACAAUGGGGGCAACCCUGAUCCAGCCAUGCCGCGUGCGGGAAGAAGGCCUUCGGGUUGUAAACCGCUUUUGUUCGGGAAGAAAUCCUCUGGGCUAAUACCCCGGGGGGAUGACGGUACCGGAAGAAUAAGCACCGGCUAACUACGUG
rnacentral:rRNA from 1 species